CGGCAACAGCUCAAAUUUGAAAUCUGGCUCUUUUAGAGUCCGAGUUGUAAUUUGCAGAGGGCGCUUUGGCGUUGGCAGCGGUCCAAGUUCCUUGGAACAGGAAGCCAAAGAGGGUGAGAGUCCCGUCUUGGACCGCGGUAGGGCUCGUGUAAAACUCCUUCGAC
rnacentral:rRNA from 1 species